rnacentral:rRNA from 1 species
GUCCACGCCCUAAACGAUGAUGACUAGUUGUUGGGGGAGUUAAAUCCCUUGGUAACGCAGCUAACGCGUGAAGUCAUCCGCCUGGGGAGUACGGUCGCAAGAUUAAAACUCAAAGGAAUUGACGGGGGCCCGCACAAGCGGUGGAUGAUGUGGUUUAAUUCGAUGCAACGCGAAAACCUUACCUACCCUUGACAUGUCAGGAAUCCUCCAGAGACGGGGGAGUGCCCGAAAGGGAGCCUGAACACAGGUGCUGCAUGGCUGUCGU